CAUCCUCUCUUCAUUCUCACGGCUGAUCUCUCCUCCUAUCUCUUAUUCACUCUUCUUCUUCGCCAAUGAUGACCGAACCCCAAAGCUCCCAUCUCCUUCAUCAUUUCUUUCCCCUCUCUAGUCGAAAUCUCUUUGUUAGGGAGGAUUAUGUCUCCAUUGAUUCUCCUAGUAGCCAAAACUCCGAGAGAUUUUGAAGUGCAAGAGACCCAAGGUUUUGAGAUUCUCGGCAAUGGACCCAGUAAUUGGAUUGCUUGCUUAGGUGGUGGUACCCAGUUGAGGUAAAAUUGGUUGCCCUUUCGAGGUAAGUAGCUUUUUAAUGGGAAUUUUUGGAAAAUAACCAUGUUGCAUAAACGUUGUUUUUGAGUUAAACACAUUUUGGAAAAUUAUUUGUGGAACUAUAUCUUUCUAAAAACUAUUGUGUUGUAACCUUAAUGUAUAUGACUAUUUAUGAAAAAUGCAUCAUGUUUAAUAUUGCAUAUGGGGAAAUGCAUGAAUAUUUGGCAUGGGAAAGAAAAGCAUCUUUGAUUAAAUUCUUGAGAAUAGAUUUUAUGGAUUUAUUGCAUUAUUCGCAAAAUUUAAAGAUGCUUUGAUAAUUGGGAGAGUUGAUACAAAAUCUUCUUGACAAGAAAUGAGUUUGAAGGCUUUGAGAAGCUUGUAAAUAUCUUUGGAUAUUAAAAGGUUUUGUGAAACUACUUGGAAAUGAAUUGUGUUUUGAAUUCAUGUAAUUUGUGAGCUCUUUAUGUUUUACCCUUGUGCUGUGACGUGUGAUUACCCGACGAUUACCUAGCUAGAUACUAUAUUCUGUGUGACAUUGGUAUCUUAGCACCUGUCCUUGUGAUGGCAUAUGAGUUUCGUCUUUGUGACGGCAAAUCAGUUCCGUCUUUGUGACGGCAUAUGAGUUCCGUUCUUGUGACGGCGUUAAGUUUCGUCUUUGUGACAACAGAUUAGUUCCAGCUAUGUGUCGGCCAUGAGUUCCAUCUUUGUGACGGCAGUUGAGUUCUGUCUUUGUGACGGCGUUGUCAUGUGGCCUUUGGUUGGAUUUUCAAGUUUCAAAAUAGUGUUUUGAUAGCUCACAGUAUAUAGUAUGUAGUUUCAUGUUGAGAUAUUUUAAGAAAGCUUUGUGCUGCAUGGUUUUAAUCAUUCUUGUUAUUUUACUAAUGAAAAUGAAUUUAUUGGAUUUUCAUUGAAAUUCCCAAAGUAUAACAUGUUUUGUAAAAUGCCCUUUAUCAUGAGACUUGCAUUUUCCUCACCCCCAUUAAUUAUGUUACUUACUGGUCUUUAGCUCAUUCCAAUCUCCAAUAGUUUUACAGAAAAAUUAGCUACAUGUCGGGCAUGGAGCUUAAUUUGUUGGUGGUGAUUGGAGUCCUAUAUUAAAAUUGGGAGACUUGGGUUAUAAAUGGUUGAUGACUCAAUCUUGCAAAGUUUAACAAGGUCAUAAUUAAUUCUAUUGGAGGUUGGGUACUUGGGGUUUGUUAGCCUUAGGCGUGUUAGGCCUAGCUUCAAUGUUGAGGUUGUGUAUUCUAGAAGGGAUUGUGAUUUUGUGUUAUCCAUUUGAAGCUUUGAAAUAUAUUCAUGUAUUAUUUGGAAGCACAUGAUUUGAGUUAUUGUUUGUAAAUGUGUUAUAGAGCUCUGACUUGUAAUAUGGAGAUUUUAGUAUGGUUAUUUAUUCUUAUCAUGUAUUUAGGAAAAAAAAAAAACUCCUAGUUCUUGCUCUUAAUGGUUCUUCUCACGCUUUGGACCUUUUUGGGUUUGGGGUAUGACACAAACACUAGAAAUCAACAGAUGAAAUUGUGCUUACUAACAUUGGAUUUUCUUUAGAAGUUGAUCCUCCAAAAGAUAAGUUUUUUCAAGGGUCUUGCCAAUCUUCUUCUCCCAUAGGGAAACAAUCUCAUUGAAGGAAAAAAAAUAUUUGCAGGGGGUCUAUUAUGAAGGACCUUGUUCAAGGUUCUUGGAUCGUCCACUGCUUUUAUAAGUCGCAAUAUCCUCUUCUUUGGAAAAAAUUACUGUUAACAUAGAAAAUAACAAUUCCUUGGUCAUCUUGAACCAAAGUAGUUGAUCUAGUUGACUUAUAUCUAGUGAAAGGUGCACACACGCACGCACAUACAUAAGCAAAUGAGAAAGUCUUGAAAAGUUUACUUAUAUCUGGUAAAAGGUGCAUGCACGCACACACGUACAUAAGCAAAUGAGAAAGUCUUGAAAAAUUUAAAGAGAAAGAUGAUUGAAUUUAUAUUAAUACCUUUGGUGUUUCCAUCUCCAAUUAUUUCAACUUUGUCCCUAGGAGGAGCUGUGAAACUGCCAGUGCCACCUGUUAGUGCAAUUCCAAAGUUGAAACUGCCAGUGCCACCAGUAAGUGCAAUUCUGUAGUUGGGCAAAAAGUACCCAGCAAAGCCAUUGGACACAAGGUAGGUAUAAGGAACUCCUUCAGCCUCAAUGGAUCUUCGGAUGCUAGCCUUCACCCUGAGAUGAUGUUCAAUUGGAUCAACUGCCUUGGCACGAUCCACAUCAACUCCAAACUCGGACAGGAAGAACCUCUGAAACCCACCAAUAUUUCAUUGUAUAUAAUCUUCUUUGAUGGCAGCAACAAUCUUCACUUGAUCAGCUAUCUGUUCUGGCGAUCCAAGUGCAGAGAUCACUCCAUCAACUUGCUUGAUUGCCUUAAUCCAAGCUUUCAUGAUGAUAUAUGUCUCCCUGUGAAACAAUCACAACUUCCAAGAUCAAUAUACUAAUCCAAAGCAUUAACAACACACCCACGAUGUGGAGAACUAGAGUUUGUACAUACAUGGAGAAGUGUCACUCCAAAGCUCUUGAAGCUCCCAAUGAGUUUAGACUUUUCAGGAUUAGAAGCUGUGUU